rnacentral:lncRNA from 1 species
GCUUUAAAACGGGUGCCUCUAAGUGAAAUCUAUAUGAGAAAUGAUCGUAUUUGCUUAGGACAUUUCAUAACUGAAAAACCAGCUGCCUUGGAAGACAAAACUAAUCCAGAUGUGCUGCCCAACGAAAAUUUAGGAUACAGUGCUAGUCUCCAACCAGGUCAAUCUGCCUGCCUACUCCCUAUUUAAAAGGUUUUUAAAAGUCGCUGGAAUGAAGCCAGAGGUUGGUUGUUAUAACAUUAAAAGGCAUAAUGUUUUUAAGCUGCUGUUUUUAAGCAGGUCCGAGCUGAAGUUGUUUCUGCAUAGUGCACAAGAAUUUGAUAGUGUAGUGUCAGAAUUUAUUGAAGAAAUUUGAGCAAAGCAGAUUUAUGAAAGCUGUGUUAGUGAGUCCGUUCAAACUGCUGUACCUAACUGAAGAAUAUUUCGUCGUAUUUUUCAGAAUUUAGAUUUUUGCAAAUCAAUAAUGUACACCUUGCAAGCAAAAGUUCAAGUGAUGGAUGUAAAUCAGAAUUAUGUUAAAAAUAAAUGCUUUAUCCCUAACGUGCGUAGCUGAUAUCUCUUGAACCGUGCCAGACUCAGCAUGCCUGUAAACUUGCAAAUCUUUAUAAGCCUUGAGCUGUAAUCCAAUGUAAAAACUACGGCUUUAAAUUAAGUAAUUCACCAAAUACGUCGUGAUGUUGGGGAACUUAAUAAAUAUCAAGCCGUAAUGACCAAGGGGGAUCAAAUAAGGGUCAAAAACUUCAAUUUGUUUGUCGUAUCUGUUCUUCGUAUCUCCACUAAGCCUUGAGUAGUAUGCACUUCAAGACAUGGUUAUACUCAUCGGACAUUUGUUCUAAAGAAAAAUAUUCUCUCUC